rnacentral:rRNA from 1 species
GGCAGCGGGAGGUGCUUGCACCUCGCCGGCGAGCGGCGGACGGGUGAGUAAUGCAUAGGAAUCUGCCCGGUAGUGGGGGAUAACCUGGGGAAACCCAGGCUAAUACCGCAUACGUCCUACGGGAGAAAGCAGGGGAUCUUCGGACCUUGCGCUAUCGGAUGAGCCUAUGCCGGAUUAGCUAGUUGGUAGGGUAAUGGCCUACCAAGGCAACGAUCCGUAGCUGGUCUGAGAGGAUGAUCAGCCACACUGGGACUGAGACACGGCCCAGACUCCUACGGGAGGCAGCAGUGGGGAAUAUUGGACAAUGGGCGCAAGCCUGAUCCAGCCAUGCCGCGUGUGUGAAGAAGGCUUUCGGGUUGUAAAGCACUUUCAGUGGGGAAGAAAGCCUGUCGGCUAAUACCCGGCAGGAACGACAUCACCCACAGAAGAAGCACCGGCUAACUCCGUGCCAGCAGCCGCGGUAAUACGGAGGGUGCGAGCGUUAAUCGGAAUUACUGGGCGUAAAGCGCGCGUAGGCGGCGUGAUAAGCCGGUUGUGAAAGCCCCGGGCUCAACCUGGGAACGGCAUCCGGAACUGUCAGGCUAGAGUGCAGGAGAGGAAGGUAGAAUUCCCGGUGUAGCGGUGAAAUGCGUAGAGAUCGGGAGGAAUACCAGUGGCGAAGGCGGCCUUCUGGACUGACACUGACGCUGAGGUGCGAAAGCGUGGGUAGCAAACAGGAUUAGAUACCCUGGUAGUCCACGCCGUAAACGAUGUCGACUAGCCGUUGGGUGCCUCGAGCACUUAGUGGCGCAGUUAACGCGAUAAGUCGACCGCCUGGGGAGUACGGCCGCAA